rnacentral:lncRNA from 1 species
UUCGGCAUUGUUCUUGCUGCCGCACUGAGGAAAAAAAGGCAAGAGAAAGAAAAAAAGAUGUCGGCGACCGCCGUGGGGGAGGAGAAAAAAAAAGAGGUUUACCGGUGUGGACGCAAAAAGAACGGCGGUGCAGAGGAAAAAAGGGCGAGUGAUCACGUCGCGACUAUGGCACCAGACGACCGCGACGGGCGCUCCCAAAGCAUCAGCCAAAACUGGUCCUCGGCGGCGCAUCGCCCAUCAAUGCCACAUUCCGCACGGGAGCAGGCGUAACGGACAAAGUCCUUGGCCGUGCACAGGUAGGGCGCGUGCUGGGCCAGGGCAUCCACCAAUGCUAUGCGCACGGGCAUGCUCCGGCAGAGAUCGACCAAGUGUGACGGCCAUGGCAUGGACGCGAGCCGGUGGCCAAAGUGUGCGGAAAUGCGUCCGAUGGCGCGAUGGCUUCCUGCGUCUACUGCGCCGGCUAGCGCGUGGCGUAUUGUGUCGUCGUCGUGGUGAUGCUCGGCGACAAGGCGGUUGAAAAGAUUGUCGUCCUUGAGGUCGGCGGCGUGCUUUAACAUGGUCUGAUGGGAACACGCAUCAGCGCAAUGGGCAAACAAGGCGUCGACAUCCAUCGGUUCGUGUGACCUGCGCGUGGGCGCCAGGCUCAGCCCGCAGCAGCCGGCGCCGCCUCGACAUACGCCAAUGUCCUUUCUGUCGCAAAGUAGACGCACAAGAUCGUGGCGACUGUUGACGAUGGCUACACGCAUGGCCAUGCGCGGGCACGCGUCGGCACAGUGAUCACACAGAAAGGUCACCAUGUCGUCGCACCCCAAUGAGAUCGCAUUGAUGAUGGCCACGCGACCACCGCCCACGCCGAGGCCGCACACAAAUUGCACGACAUCGAGACGCCGCGAGCGUACUGCGCUCGCGACAAAAUCGCAUGGCCACAGGCCGUAGCCGCGCUCGGCUAGGAAGCGCAGGAUGCCUAGGCUACCACGAUGCGCUGCGUAUCUUGCAUGGUGCCAUUGCACCACUGAGAUGACAUCCUCUUUGUCGUUGCUGUCGAGGAAAAUGCGCAGCAGAUCCACGUCGUCAUACGCCACAAUGUGGUCAAUGCAGGUGUCGUGGGUAAUAUGGCCUUUGCAAUGCGCCAGUGCAAAGACGAGCACGUCGGCGACGGGCGCGCCGUCAAGGCACUGCGGGCGGGGUAGACGUCUUGUCGCAAAAAUCCAACCGAUGGCUGCGGCGCCCGCCAAAUCGCCGCCCUCGGCAAACCACUGGGCAACCGUCGAGACGAGUUCCUCGGAUGCAGCAUCGCCCCACAUGACACGCGCCAUGCCGAUGGCCUUGUCGAGCGGGACAAUAUGUUUCGCGUGGCGUCGCAUCAACGCGUUGGCUUCACUGCAGGCUGGACCUCGUUGCAACAGCACCGGGUCGUCCACGCGAUCGGCGAUGCCCAAAGGCAGGCAACCGAGCACAAUAUGGCGGUCGCGCGAUCGAUCGACACACAUGGUGGUGACUGCGCGCUCCAGACGUGCGCGCACGUCCGUGUCAUCGGUACCGCCCUCGGCCACUUGCAGGACAACGGCCAAGGCCUCGGAAUUCAGGGUGCCGUGUUUGACGAGCAAUAGAGCAAAUCGGGCAUCGCGUGAUCGGCCUACUGGAUCUAUAGCCGCGCGGCGAAACAGUGCGUGCGCGAGGCUCCGCGUCGUCAUGCCCAUGCGCUCGACAGCAAAGAGAAAAGCGUCGGUACAAUCGUUUGCGAUGGCCGCACUCGCCACGCAAAACAUAUCAUUGCCGGGCGCUGCCGUGUCGAGCAUGCGCAAGAGGUCGACGCGCGCCAACUGCGCAGCCUCGACGAAUGCGUGCCUGGAGACCCGGUAGCCUUGGUCGAGAAGAAAUGCGACGGUCGCCGCCGAGCCCGACCUCACGGCGGCAACAAGAAUUCGCGGACCGCAGGCGACCGCCCUGUGGAUGAUGGCGGGGCGGUGCGGCGCGUCCGUGUGCUCGUACAGCCAGCGCACAUUGUCGACACGACCGACAGACGCCGCGGCGUAGAUGGCCGCCGAGUCAAAGCGCUCUUUGCGCGUGCGCCGAAAAUAGUCGAGGGCGUCGGGCGAGAGAUGGCGUGCUGCCGCGACAGCCGUACGGCAGCGGCGGCACUGCCGCUCCAGCACGUGGGCGCGCGAGUAGACGGAAAACAGGCGCGCUGCACAAAGGCACGCCAAAAAGUCGCGAUCAUCAGCGACAGCACAAAGGACGUGGAAAAUGACCUCGCGCGGCAGGGUCUCCAUCAGGUGCUACUAGAAAAAAAAAUGUAAAACAAAACUCGCCCUGGGAUGAGAGCCUCUCUUUUUUUUGCCCUAUGCGCGUGCAAAGCGGCCCGGCUCCUGGCUCGCGCAAUCGAAUCUGCUGAAUCGCACAGUUUUCCUGUACGACCAAUGGUUAUCAGAAAAAACAUCUGGGCCAACGCGAC